rnacentral:misc_RNA from 1 species
AAGUCAUAACAAGGUUUCCGUAGGUGAACCUGCGGAAGGAUCAUUAGAGAUUGCCGAAAGGCUUAUAUUUAAACAUUGUGAACUUGGCUCCGGCCUAGACUUUUUGUAUUGAAAGCAUAAAUGAGAAUGAAACAACUUUCAACAACGGAUCUCUUGGCUCUC